rnacentral:snRNA from 1 species
GCUUUUGCGCAGUGGCAGUAUCGUAGCCAAUGAGGUUAAUCCGAGGCGUGAUUAUUGCUAAUUGAAAAACUACACACAGAUCCUCCAUGACUCCUAACCACCAUGACCUUGCCUUUCCCCCAUAUGUGAAAUGGCCACAAGACC